GAUGAACGCUAGCGGCAGGCUUAACACAUGCAAGUCGAGGGGUAACAGGAGAAAGCUUGCUUUCUCGCUGACGACCGGCGAACGGGUGCGUAACACGUAUGCAACCUACCCUUAACAGGAAGAUAGCCCAGAGAAAUCUGGAUUAAUACUCCAUAAUAUCUCAUUUUCACAUGGUUAUGAGAUUAAAGCUCCGGCGGUUAAGGAUGGGCAUGCGUCCCAUUAGUUUGUUGGUGAGGUAACGGCUCACCAAGACUACGAUGGGUAGGGGGUCUGAGAGGAUGAUCCCCCACACUGGUACUGAGACACGGACCAGACUCCUACGGGAGGCAGCAGUGAGGAAUAUUGGACAAUGGGCGAAAGCCUGAUCCAGCCAUGCCGCGUGCAGGAUGACUGCCCUAUGGGUUGUAAACUGCUUUUAUAUAGGAAGAAAAACUUUCUCGUGAGAAAGCUUGACGGUACUAUAAGAAUAAGGAUCGGCUAACUCCGUG
rnacentral:rRNA from 1 species